rnacentral:lncRNA from 1 species
GACUGUAAGAAACAACCUGGACCCUUUGGAAGAGUACACAGAUGAACAAGUUUGGGAGGUAAUUUAGUUUUGCUUGACACUAAGAAGAAGUUUCCGUUUUAGUCUUUAGUACCAGUACAUAUUAAUCUAUUUCAUGAUAUAUUUUAGGCUCUAGAUAUGUGCCAACUUGGAGAUGAAAUAAGGAAGAAAGAAGGGAAGCUUGACUCCUUAGGUAUGAAUUCUGAAACUUUGAACAAAUAUGUUAGGAUGUGUUACAAGUUAUAAUUAGAUGUAUAAAUGUGGUGAGAAUCUACUACUUACCAUGAUGAGUUCUGCAGUUACUGAGAAUGGAGGAAAUUGGAGUAUGGGUCAGAGGCAAUUGGUCUGCCUUGGCCGGGUUCUUCUUAAGAAAAGUAAGAUUUUGGUGCUUGAUGAAGCAACUGCAUCAGUUGACACAGUCACAGAUAAUAUUAUUCAGCAAACAGUUAAGCAGCAUUUUUCAGAAUGCACAGUCAUUACAAUUGCUCAUAGAAUAACAUCAAUCCUAGACAGUGACAUGGUUCUGUUUCUAAAUGGAGGCAAGCAAUUUUUUCCCCUUUCUUCAUCUUUAUUUGUCAAUUUUUAUUUUCUUCUCUAGCUCAUAAAUGUGGACCCUGGACAUGGUUUCUCUUCAUAUUGAUCCUGCAGGGCUAAUUGAGGAAUAUGAUUCACCAAAGAAACUGCUUAAGAACAAGUCUUCAGGUCUUGCUCAACUGGUUGCAGAAUACACAAGGAGGUCAAACUCUGGUUUUGGAAGUUGAACUGAAUCUGAAUUAAUGUCACCAACAAUAUAUGUUGUUACGCAGAGAUUUUACAGUUACACAUAUUUUCUCAGAUACUUGUAUGUGACUCACUCUAUAUGGCUAUAUCACAAAUAAGUGCUUGUCUGAUGUUAUUAAAUAGUUAAUGAUAUAAAUGGCCGACCAACAUUUAGCUAGCUAUAAACCGAACUGUAAAAUGAUACCUAUGCAUACCUGAGAAAUUAAUAUGGACAUCCGGGAUCCAACAAUGUUUGAAGGGACUGUAAGAAACAACCUGGACCCUUUGGAAGAGUACACAGAUGAACAAGUUUGGGAGGUAAUUUAGUUUUGCUUGACACUAAGAAGAAGUUUCCGUUUUAGUCUUUAGUACCAGUACAUAUUAAUCUAUUUCAUGAUAUAUUUUAGGCUCUAGAUAUGUGCCAACUUGGAGAUGAAAUAAGGAAGAAAGAAGGGAAGCUUGACUCCUUAG